CGUGAACAACGGUAGCCAUUGUUCAAGUUUAAGGAACAAGCGGGGUUAAUGGCUUCAAAUAAGCUUUUGUGCGAAGCCACCCUGUGUCAAUACAAGUGCUUUCAGCCACAGUAAUGCCUCCUCGGCGACAAUCGAUGACGGCAACUCAAACGAACAAAAGCUGUCAGCGCAACAUGUCGUGCGAAUGGGUGAGAAGACCUAUAGGCUGGAUGAUUACGGCUCGUGACGACGACUGUUUAACCGCGAAGCUAACGUCACCCCCCCCCUCUCAGUUUUCAACAUCUGGGGGUAAUAAGCCGCUCCCGCCCUGGGACGUUUUCCUUAUGUCUGCUGGAUCGCACGCUCUGGCGGACCAUGGCGGCGCUUGCUGACUUCAUCGUGGAAGCGACAGUACACCUGGAAAACAGCUGUGGGAGAAGCCAGCAUGCUGAAUGAUGAAUGAAAAAUGGAGAAAGGGAAGGAUACAUUUAUUUUUCACCAGCCUCAACAAGGGAAACAAGCUAUACUGUAUUUGGAUCCCUCAACUGUUUGGCUUCAACCGCAGUGAAAACCUGCUCAACAAGCAGGCCGAGAGCAAGCUUGUUUAGUCUUUUGCCUGCAGGCAGUUCUUAUUCACUGCGGAGGUGGGCGAGGCCAGGACGAACUCGAUUGUGCUCUCUGAAAUGCCCAAAAAGCAAUAAAAGCGGAAGAUGCACAAGGAAGUUGUGACUAGCCGCUGUCUCCAUUUUUAGAGCAGAAGUUUUGAAAGAGAGCUAUUGUACAAAGCAAUUGCAGUAAGGGCUGCUGAAAUACUACACAUUCUGCAAUGGAACGGCAGCUCAAUAUUAAAUUGACUCAAGAGAGAACAAAGUAUGACUCCGUAUAAAACGCACAAACAGAUAUGAAAGCGUCAAUGGUACGUACGGGUAUGGCAAAUAAUUAAAUUGAUCGCAACAUCACAGUUGUCAAUAUACGGAAGACAUUUGACCUUGCUUUCUGGUUGAAACAGCAUUCAGGCGGAGUCAAGAGGAAAAUAUACAUCGAUAUUAUAAAUGUUGAUACUUUGAAGUUGCUGAAUGGGCACUCUUUCACCAAAAAGGUUUACGACAGCCUGUAGGAGUUAGCAUGAAAUAUUAGCUUCACUGUAUGGGACGUGCGUUCGUUGGGUACGUUUAAACACCGAACGGACCAGCAAACCGCUCAAUCACCUCGAUUCAACACCAACAAGUAGUUAUUGACACCAAGGUGAGUUUACCUGCCCACAAAAUUCUCCAAGACGGAGCUUUUCCCGGCACUCUGCCCUCCGACCACGGCAAUCUGCGGAAGGUCCAAAUUGCAACUUUGCCCGAUGGAGCUGAAGGCGUCCUGAAGCUUGUUGAUGAGGGGAAUGAGGUCUUCCAUGCCCCGGUUCCCCAUGGCUUCGUUAGCUCAGAGGAGCUCCU